rnacentral:rRNA from 1 species
UACGGAGGGGGCUAGCGUUGUUCGGAAUUACUGGGCGUAAAGAGCGCGCAGGCGGUCAGAUAAGUCGAAUGUGAAAGCCCCCGGCUCAACUGGGGAGGGUCAUUCGAUACUGUUCGACUCGAAGGCAGGAGAGGGAAGUGGAAUUCCCGGUGUAGUGGUGAAAUGCGUAGAUAUCGGGAGGAACACCAGUGGCGAAGGCGACUUCCUGGCCUGUUCUUGACGCUGAGGCGCGAAAGCUAGGGGAGCAAACGGG